rnacentral:rRNA from 1 species
ACUCAAAGGAAUAGACGGGGGCCCGCACAAGCGGUGGAGCAUGUGGUUUAAUUCGACGCAACGCGAAGAACCUUACCCAGACUUGACAUUGAUAGAAUCCGCUGGAAACAGUGGAGUGCCUUUCGGGGCCUUGAAAACAGGUGCUGCAUGGCUGUCGUCAGCUCGUGUCGUGAGAUGUUGGGUUAAGUCCCGCAACGAGCGCAACCUUCGCCUUUAGUUGCUACCAGGUAAUGCUGGGCACUCUAGAGGGACUGCCGGUGUCAAACCGGAGGAAGGUGGAGAUGACGUCAAGUCCUCAUGGCCUUUAUGUCUGGGGCUACACACGUGCUACAAUGGCAGGUACAAACUGACGCGAACCCGUGAGGGGAAGCAAAUCGGAGAAAACCUGCCUCAGUUCGGAUCGAAGUCUGCAACUCGACUUCGUGAAGUUGGAAUCGCUAGUAAUCGUGGAUCAGCAUGCCACGGUGAAUACGUUCCCGGGCCUUGUACACACCGCCCGU